CGGUAAUCGACCAAUCAACAAUUGUAGUUCCAUAUUUACUUCAGAAUACCAGUUAUAUUUCCCUUGAGUACAAGCCAUGCACCAGCUGGGGAGUAUGCAGUCUGUUUACAUACAAACGGAAACACGUGAUUUUGAGGGUAAACCUGUUUGGAGCAUGAUGAUGAUUGUGCAGUGUUUGUAGAAGAAUGAGAAGACGAUGAGGUUAACAACAAUGUGGAAAUUUUAUGUGGAAAUAAUGCAGCAAAUAUAUUACCCAAAUAUUAUGAGGUUUUCCAUGAACAUACACAAUCUUUGGAAAAAAAAUGCAUGUUUGUAAUUGAUA